rnacentral:rRNA from 1 species
GACGAACGCUGGCGGCGUGCCUAAUACAUGCAAGUAGAACGCUGAAGGAGGAGCUUGCUUCUCUGGAUGAGUUGCGAACGGGUGAGUAACGCGUAGGUAACCUGCCUGGUAGCGGGGGAUAACUAUUGGAAACGAUAGCUAAUACCGCAUAAUAGUAGAUGUUGCAUGACAUUUGCUUAAAAGGUGCAAUUGCAUCACUACCAGAUGGACCUGCGUUGUAUUAGCUAGUUGGUGAGGUAACGGCUCACCAAGGCAACGAUACAUAGCCGACCUGAGAGGGGGAUCGGCCACACUGGGACUGAGACACGGCCCAGACUCCUACGGGAGGCAGCAGUAGGGAAUCUUCGGCAAUGGACGGAAGUCUGACCGAGCAACGCCGCGUGAGUGAAGAAGGUUGUCGGAUCGUAAAGCUCUGUUGUAAGAGAAGAACGAGUGUGAGAGUGGAAAGUUCACACUGUGACGGUAUCUUACCAGAAAGGGACGGCUAACUACGUG